rfam:Spinacia oleracea cultivar SynViroflay scaffold26979.con0007.1, whole genome shotgun sequence.
GGGAUAUGAUGAGUGGUCAUUUUUCGCAAAUUAAUAUGCGAAAUGGGUGUCCAGCCUAAGCCUGUUACGACAAUUUGGGCAUCCCCGUUUAUACCAUCUGAUCCC